AUUUUUAAAGCUAAUAAGGGCACAUGGUGGAUGCCUUGGGUCUGAGAGGCGAUGAAGGACGUGGUAAGCUGCGAUAAGCUAAGGGGAGCUGCACACAAGCGUUACAUCCUUAGAUUUCCGAAUGGGACAACCUGAUAUACUGAAGGUAUAUCACUCGAAAGAGAGCCAACCCGCUGAACUGAAACAUCUAAGUAGGCGGAGGAAAAGAAAAUAAACUAAUGAUUCCCUAAGUAGUGGCGAGCGAACAGGGAAGAGCCUAAACUUAACCGGCGUGCCGGUUAAGGGUUGUAGGACUGCAUUUAGAAAUCAUCAUCAAGCUGAAUUUUCUGGAAAGUUAAGUCAUAGAGCGUGAUAACCGCGUAGGCGUAAAUUGAUGAGGACGAGCAGUAUCCUGAGUAGUGCGGAACCGGAGGAAUUCUGCAUGAAUCUGCCAGCACCAUCUGGUAAGGCUAAAUACUCCUCAGACACCGAUAGUGAACCAGUACCGUAAGGGAAAGGUGAAAAGCACCCUAAAUAAGGGAGUGAAAUAGUACCUGAAACCGUGUGCCUACAAGCGGUCGGAGUCCUGCAGCAAUGUACGGAUGACGGCGUGCCUUUUGCAUAAUGAACCUACGAGUUGCUCCUCACUGGCAAGGUUAAGUUCUUAAAUAACGGAGCCGUAGCGAAAGCGAGUCCAAACAGGGCGCUUAGUCAGUGGGGGCAGACGCGAAACUUUGUGAUCUAUCCAUGGGCAGGUUGAAGGUGGAGUAACAUCUACUGGAGGACCGAACCCGUUAACGUUGAAAAGUUCUGGGAUGACCUGUGGAUAGGGGUGAAAGGCCAAUCAAACUGAGAGAUAGCUCGUUCUCCCCGAAAUGUUUUUAGGAACAGCCUCGGAUUAUCCGUAAGGAUUUAGAAGUAUGAUAGAGGUAGAGCUACUGAUUGGGCUAGGGGGCUUCACCGCCUACCAAACCCUGACAAACUCCGAAUACUAUCAUAUAUCUCCGGGAGUGAGGCUGCGGGCGCUAAGGUCCGUGGCCGAGAGGGAAAUAACCCAGAUUAGCAACUAAGGUCCCUAAUACAUGGUUAAGUUAAUCAAACGAGGUGAGACUUCUAUAACAGCCAGGAUGUUUGCUUGGAAGCAGCAAUUCAUUUAAAGAGUGCGUAACAGCUCACUGGUCGAGAGGUCUUGCACGGAAAAUGAUCGGGUAUCAAACCAUGAACCGAAGUUCUAAGAUUGAUUUAUCAAUCGGUAGGGGAGCAUUGAAAUCUGCAUUGAAGGCGUAUGGCGAUGUAUGCUGGAGCGAUUUCAAAAGAAAAUGUAGGUAUAAGUAACGAUAAAUGGAGUGAAAAACUCCAUCGCCGAAAGUCUAAGGGUUCCUGAUCAACGUUAAUCGGAUCAGGGUUAGUCUGGUCCUUAGGAAAACCCGAAAGGGGCAUCUGAUGGAAAGCUGGUUAAUAUUCCAGCACCUGCUAUACAUUAAAAGUGACGGAGCAUGCUAGCCACAUAAGCUGACGGAAUAGCUGAGCGGAUCCUUCGGGUGAGGCGUAGUGGUAAAAGUGCUUCCAAGAAAAGCGAGUAUAGCGGCCAGUACCGCAAACCGACACAGGUAGACGGGAUGAAUAUUCUAAGGCGCUCGGGUGAGCCGUGGAGAAGGAACUAGGCAAAUUAACGCUGUAACUUCGGGAUAAAGCGUACCGCAGCGAUGCGGUCACAGUAAAAUGGUUCAACCAACUGUUUAACAAAAACACAGGGCCCUGCAAAAUCGAAAGAUGACGUAUAGAGCCUGAAACCUGCCCGGUGCCGGAAGGUUAAGGAAGGGUGUUCGUAGCAAUACAAAGCUCCUGACUGAAGCCCCGGUAAACGGCGGCCGUAACUAUAACGGUCCUAAGGUAGCGAAAUUCCUUGUCGGGUAAGUUCCGACCUGCACGAAUGGUCUAAUGAGUUGAACACUGUCUCCUCCACGAGCCCGGUGAAAUUGUAGUAUCGGUGAAGAUGCCGGUUACCCGCCACGGGACGGAAAGACCCCGUGAACCUUCACUACAACUUUGCAUUGAUUUUGAGCAACCGAUGUGUAGGAUAGUUGGGAGACUUCGAAGCAGUGUCGCCAGGCAUUGUGGAGUCAACGUUGAAAUACCAACCUUCGUUUGCUUAGAACCUAACCCAUUUAUUGGGGACAUUGCAUGGUGGGUAGUUUGACUGGGGUGGUCGCCUCCUAAAAAGUAACGGAGGCUUGCAAAGGUACCCUCAGUACGGUUGGUAAUCGUACAUAGAGCGCAUUAGUAUAAGGGUGCUUGACUGUGAGGCAUACAGGCCGAGCAGGUGCGAAAGCAGGCUAAAGUGAUCCGGUGGUUCUGCAUGGAAGGGCCAUCGCUCAAAGGAUAAAAGGUACUCCGGGGAUAACAGGCUGAUCUUACCCAAGAGCUCAUAUCGACGGUAAGGUUUGGCACCUCGAUGUCGGUUCGUCACAUCCUGGGGCUGGAGAAGGUCCCAAGGGUUCGGCUGUUCGCCGAUUAAAGUGGCACGUGAACUGGGUUCAGAACGUCGCAAGACAGUUCGGUCCCUAUCUGUGGUGGGCGCUAGUAAAUUGAGAGGACGUGACCUUAGUACGAGAGGACCGGGUCGCAUGUACCGCUGGUGUAUCUGUUGUGCCGCCAGGUGCAAUGCAGAGUAGCUAUGUACAGUCAGGAUAAACGCUGAAAGCAUCUAAGCGUGAAACCUUCCUCAAGAUGAGUUUACUUUUAAGGGUCGUUAUAGACGAUAACGUUGAUAGGCUACAGGUCUAAAGUUAGCAAUAACAAAGCCGAGUAGUACUAAUUGCCCGUAAGCUUUAAUUUU
rnacentral:rRNA from 1 species